GACGAACGCUGGCGGCGUGCUUAACACAUGCAAGUCGAACGAAGUGGCGAACGGGUGAGUAAUAAGUGGGUAACCUGCCCUCCUUUUUGGGAUAAGCCUUGGAAACGGGGUCUAAUUCCGAAUAAAGUGGGCUGGGCUCGCGGCCUAUCAGUUUGUUGGUGGGGUGAUGGCCUACCAAGGCGGUGACGGGUAGCCGGCCUGGGAGGGUGGCCGGCCACAUUGGGACUGGGAGACGGCCCAGACUCCGACGGGAGGCAGCAGGGGGGAAGAUUGCACAAUGGGGGAAACCCUGAUGCAGCAACGCCGCGUGCGGGAUGACGGCCUUCGGGUUGUAAACCGCUUUCAUCCAUGACGCGGUAGUGGAAGAAGAAGCACCGGCUAACUACGUGCCAGCAGCCGCGGUAAUAC
rnacentral:rRNA from 1 species